rnacentral:snRNA from 13 species
AUACUUACCUGGCAGGGGAGACAUCAUGAUCAGGCAGAUGGUUUUCCCAGGGAGAGGCUCAUCCCUUGCACUCCGAGUGUGCUGAACCAUGUAAUUAUUUCUUUUUUCUCAGCCCAGAAGCCAACCGUAUCCUGGGC